rnacentral:lncRNA from 1 species
GCAAGUGUCCCCAACCCCAGUGGAGCCACAAACACGAGCAGUGGUGGCCCCUGCCCUCCUGGACACUUCUGCCCAGCUGGCACCAGCAUCCCCCAGCCGUGCCCUGUGGGCACUUACUCACACAGGCUCCACAAUGGGCAGGAUUCCAGCUGCACUGAGUGCCCACCUGGCCAGUUCUGUGGCUCCCCUGGCCUCACAGCCCCCUCAGGACCCUGCUCACCUGGGUACUUCUGCCAGCCUGGCGCUUCCUCACCGUCACCAGCUGGUGUGCGGCAGAGAGGAGGCCCUUGCCCUGUGAGCCAUUUCUGCCCAGAAGGGACCAGCUCUCCCUUGCCCUGCCGUGCAGGGACUUACAACAACCUCUCCACACAAGCUGCCUGCUUCCCCUGUGCUGCAGGCUACUUCUGCCCGGAGAACACCACCAGCUACAGCACAAACCCCUGCCCAGCUGGAUUUUACUGCCCCAAAGGCACCAGGUUUGCCACGGAGUUUCCCUGUCCCAGGGGCUACUACAACCCUGACCCCAUGAGCCAGAGCUUGGACAGCUGCCUGCCCUGCCCACCUGGGCACUACUGUGGGCAGGAGGGGCUGACAGCAGCCUCAGGCAGGUGUGACCCAGGUGAGCGUGGGGCUGCUGGGGUCA